GCCGGCCUAGCUCAAUGGUAGAGCAACCGCCUUGUAAGCGGUAGGUUAUCAGUUCGAUUCUGAUGGCCGGCU
rnacentral:tRNA from 1 species